GUGAGCUUCAGAUGAGACAUCAACAGAAGGCAAUGUUCAUCAGGAUGUGGGUUUUCAUUGUGUUUUUCAUCAGUGUUAAAGAUUUCGUGAAUGGUAAUCAGGAUGAGGUAAAGACAGUGAUGGAGGGAGACGUUCUGACUCUACAUACAGGAGCUCAGCUGAAGAGAAACACUGAGACAAUGUGGUUUUUUAAAAGUGGCCGUCUUACCACCCGUAUAGCACAGAUAAAUAAUGGAAAACUUUUGACCCAUUUUGAAGAGAGACUUACUGGCAGAUUGGAUCUAGAUCAAGAGAGUGGGUCAUUGACCAUUUGGAAUAUCAGUACCAGUGAUUCUGGACUUUAUAAAGUAUCAUUCACCAUCAGGUUACUCGUCUCUGAGAAGAAGUUCAAAGUUAAUGUAUAUGCACCUGUCUCUGUACCUGCUAUUGAGAAGAACUCAUUGGAUACUGCGCACCAAUCUUCAGGUACUUUGAAGCAGCCACAAGCAGUAGAAGAUUUCUGCUCUGUGCUCUGCUCCGUGAGAAAUGAUCGAGACGUGUUCAUCUCGUGGUAUAAAGGGAGUGAAAUGGUGAAUCAGACCAGCAAUCCUGAUCUCAGCAUCAAACUCAGUUUACCAUUAGAGCUUCAUUAUAAUGAUUCAGAGAUCUACAGCUGCACGGCUGCAAAUCCAGUGAGCAACAAGAGCAUCAGUCUUAACAUGAAAGAGAUCUGCCAACGACAUGAAGAUUGUCUGGAUCAUUGUGGCUUCACUGAAGCUCUGAUUCGACUGGUUCUGUCUGGUCUGGUGGGAAUCGCCACUGUUUUCUUUGUGGUUGAUCAUGUGAGGAUCUCCUCAUCUCAGAGAAGAGCUGCUGCUUCUGUGUGAUGAUGAUACUUUCAUGUAAACUUUGACAUUGAAGGAGGUUUGCAGGGUAAAGAGGUGUAAAAAAUAAAGGUAUCGGCUAGAAUGAUAUGUAGUAGGCUAAGUGUGACCAGUAUGCUUUGCAAGUAGGUUACAUAAAAUGCACACAAACUUGUAUGUAUACUAACCUAAAUAUAUUUGUGUAUGUGUGAGUAGCUAUAUAUGGAGAGCAUAUGAUUCCUUAUGCUUUUGAAUCGCUCUUGCGGAAUCGCUCUUGUGGUAUGUCAUACGCCGAUCAGUCUGCGCAGCACAGAUGCAUCUCAAACAAGUGAGUAAACCUCACUCCCCUGAUCUCAAGAGAUGCUUUAGCGACCGCAGCCUUUAGCCUCCUUGUUAGAGCGUCCGACUCUCACGCCGGAGACCCGGGUUCGAGGCCUGCGCAAAGCGGGGUGAGUGGGACCUGGAUAGAGUGGUUGCAUGUAGCAGAUGUUUGCUGUGGUACAGUACUGCAAUAACUGAACUGUACUGAUCAUAAUUUACAUCUGCCCAGAGAAUUUCAUCUACAUCACAGAAUAUUCUUAUCAUGCAUUAUGGAGGGAAAAUCAUUAUGAAUGUUGAAUCCAUGGUUCUUGGUUCAAUUAGCAUCUAGCUUAAACAGAGAAAACAAAACGGCUACUACAUGAACUCCAUUUGUUUUGUGAAAGAAAUGCCUAAUGUGUCAACACCGUCAGUGUCAACACCAUAAGAUUUUCUGUCUGACGGAGUUGACAUUCACCAUGAAGUCAUCAUAUUUUUGUGGUUUUCAAGUCAUUUUUAAUUAUAUUAAAUAUAAAAUAAUGUUUCGUUUUUCUAAUAUUGUAUAAAUACUAAAUAUGUGACCUGACAGUAUAUAUUGCUUUUGUGGAUUGAUAUCACUUCUAGCAGAGUUAGUGUUGAGGGACCAUAAGGCUUGAGGAUUAGUUCAUUUUCAAAUGAAAAUUACCCCAAGCUUUACUCACCCUCAAUCAGUCCUAGGUGUAUAUGACUUUCUUCUUUCUGAUGAACACAAUCAGAGUUAUAUUAAUAAUUAGCUUUAUAUAAUAGCUUUAUAAUUGCAGUGCAUGGAAACCACCUGUUUGAAACUAAAAAAAAAGGUGUAUCCAUCCAUCAUAAACGAGAAAAGAAAAAUAUAACACAUUAUAAAGUAAAAUAUCUUGCUUCCGCCUUCUGUAUUCAACUUAGGAAGAAAGUGUAAAACUCUCGCAGUUCAAAACGCUUCUUCCUAAGUUGAAUACAGAAGGCGGUCUGGCGGAAGCAAGAUAUUUUACUUUGCAACUUGUUAAAUAUAGAUAUUUUCAGAAAGUGAAAGAGCUCUGUUUUCAUCUACUCUCAUCUACUUCCAGUUGUUUGGUAACUUCCAUCCACCCUUCUUCUUGACCCCUUUCCCCGCUUCUGACUGUCUUGGUGAUAGUAUAGUAACAGUUUAUCGAGAGAGAAGGCUCGACUGAGAAGUAUCAACUGAAAAUAAAUGCUUCCCCCUUGUGGACACUAACAUAAUAGACAACUCAGAGAGUGAUUGUAAACUAAGAGUACAUGAAAUAUGCUUGUAAUUUCAUUCUGCAUCUUACUGCGAUUUCAUUGUAAUCUUUCUCAAAGAUUACAAUGAAAGAAAAAGAAAAAAAGACACUGAAUUCACCAUUACCUAUUCACCUAUGUAUAUCGUUGUAAUCCUUGACCAUCAAAACAUAUGGGUAGACACCUUUCUGUGUUAUCAUGUUUGAUUUAGGAGAUGAGAUACAAAAUAUGUAAAUUGGUUAUGGCAGAAAUUGUGUACCAAGUUUCAUGAAAAAGUGAACAUAUCACCUCAAUUUUUGUAAAUAUCACCUGGAAUAUUGAUCAUUUCAUUUCCUAUUUCGAAUGGAAUAACGAGAAAUGAAAAAGACGAUAAUAUAUUCAUGAAAUCAAACAUAAGACAACAUUUCAAAAUAAAUUGCAAUGAAAAUG